UACGGAGGGUGCAAGCGUUGUCCGGAAUCACUGGGCGUAAAGCGCGCGCAGGCGGCGAUCUACGUCUGGGGUGAAAGCCCGGGGCUCAACCUCGGGACUGCCUUGGAUACGGGAUCGCUUGAGAAUCGGAGAGGCAAGGGGAAUUCCACGUGUAGCAGUGAAAUGCGUAGAUAUCGUAAGGAAGACCAGUGGCGAAGGCGGGUCUCUGGACAGUUCCUGACGCUGAGGCACGAAGGCCAGGGGAGCAAACGGG
rnacentral:rRNA from 1 species